GCAAUUGUCAGUUCUUGUGCAGUGCAGUGAUCACCAGACAGGAGUAUGCACGCUGCAAUCAGAAUCGGUUCUGGCUCCUAUUGUGCAUAUUCCUGGUCAGUGAUCUCAGCCAAAGAGCCAGGCAGCAGAUAAGAUAUUGAAUCCAGGAAUGGGAGGCAGGGUUGUUCUUGGGAAACUUGCCAGAAAUGCUGGAUUUUAUAUACCAAAGGUUCAGCCUCUUUGUAACGAUCUAGGCCUCCAAAGUUAUGCACAGGAGCUCCCCUAUCCUGAAUUGUCUUAAGAGUGUCAGCAGGGUCGGACUGGGAAAAAAGAUCCAGGCCUCGUGGAUCCAGCCGACCCACUCCCUACAGCCGCCAGGUCCUGGCCUCCUGCUCUCCUUUUCUGACUCCCUCCCAUCUGAUUGAAGGGACGUGCAAGCAGGGUGCCGAGUUUGGCACAAGUGAUGGCAAAAGUCACCAGGAGACAACUGAUGGGAGAGAAGGCACGAAAGUCACUCGUUUAAGGUUCAAGACACUUUCCAGAUUCCAAAUCAGGGGACCCAUCUACAAACAAAGGCUCGGUGGCCAUAGACGCAUGUUUGGUGGGACACGAGGCGAUCGAUAUGGGCAGAAGAAUUGGAUAUCAGUCGGCUCGUCGAUCGGGCUGGCUGGAAGAUUUUGAUUGGUCGCUUUUGAAGGUACCUGAACAACGGCCAUUGUUAGAGAUGAAUCGUCAGAUACAUGUAGAAUUCUAUUGUUUCAAUCUGUAUAUUUGACUAUACAACUCUACACGUGUGUAUUGAAUGAACAAUCUUUCCAGGCAAGAACGUAAUUGUAAAGUCUAUGGCCACCUUAACUAAAGUCACCAGGUGAGGUUACAAAAUGCAUCAAAAAUAAUUUUGCCCACAGCAAAAUUCUUAUGAGAAUGAGACAAGUCGUAACAUCUGAUUCAUUUGUUGCAAAUUACCCAUACAAGUCAAUUUCCUCCUCUGCUCCAUUAUGAUUCAUCCUCUAUUACGG